GGAAAACACAGAACACAGUUAUGUUAUUUGAAAACACACAAAAGAGGAGGAAAAUACUGACAUGAUAAGAAUUUAACACGUUCACUGGAGUUUUACAUGUUUCAUCAGGAAAAGGAUAAACUGGUCUCUUUUUUUUUCUUCACAAAUAAAAAGAGUGUGCGAGUGUGGCAUGCAUUUUCAUAUCUUGAAGAAUAACAUUCAUCAAAUCUGUCCAGCUCUCUUUUCCCCGCUGCACAAUGUUGCCACCAUCGUGUUAAAGGUGAAGGUUGUGUUAUAAGGGUGAUGUCCAACCUUAGCUGUCAGCCAGUGUUUUGCGUUUAAGACAAAACUUAACUUUGAUCUGUUUAUCCCACAUCUUUGCUUUGUUCUCUAUAGGAUCUGGGCUGAAGACAUGUUUAGACUACCGUUCUUAUAUUGUAGUUGUUAAAUAACGAGCCUUAAUCUGCAUCGGCAUGUUAACGCUUCUCAAAAAAAAAAAAAAAAAAAAAAACACAAAAAGAAAAAGGCCAAAAAAUUCUGAUUGGUGCAGCUCACGAUCUCCUUCAGCCCUCGCUGGUCUUAAAGCUGUUAUUUGUUUCAGAAAACUGGAAAAGUGUCAGAUUUCCAGUAAACACCAAGGACUGAUGAGUGAUAGAAAAUCUGACUGGGAGAGUUGAUCUUUUCCAAAGCAGCAGGGUGGUGAGAAGCUACGCUCAGUGGUUUUCUGCUGUUCUGGAUUCAAAACAAACUUUUCAGUGAAAACGCCUCCCGUCAGCCAACCACUUCCAACUUUUGGCCAUCACAACACGUCCUUCAACUCCAUCCGUCAUCGGGGAUCUGUUCACUCCUCUGCUUUACGCCAGACUGUUUCCAGAAACUUUCUGAAGCCUGUUGCUUAGCAAACAGCCCACGCCAACUUUGUUCCUGCUAUUUUAGUCUUUGUUUGGCAAAACGAGCUGCUAAGCUGAAGCCGCGAAUCAAAGCGGGAGCCGUGGGAAUGGAUUUUCUCAAGUUUUCAAUUGAAAUUAUGAAUGGGAGAGAAACGGAAGAAUCCUUGUUGACCUCAUCAAGAAAUUCAAGCUGAGGGGAAGUUUAAAUUACGUUACAUUGCUCAUCGUUUGCGUUUUAAGAGAACAAGCUUUCAAGUCAUCAUCCUAAACACACCACAGCUGACCUGGGGAAGUAGGGAGUAGAAAUAUGAUUUUGUUUCCGUUUAAGAAAAACAGUGCAUUCCCGAAUUCUCAGCUGUCGGAUAUCUAGGAGUUUUUCUAGUAAAUAAAGUAUAAAGUUUUUUUAUCAGCAAGAAAAGUUUAAUGAUGGCGUGGGAGACAAAUCUAAAUUUAUUACAUUAGUAACCACAGUCAGGAAAUAAUUAACAGCCUGAAACUUAAUCUUGGCAGUAAAUCUCUAAGCUUGACAUGGGCGUUGGGUAUCUGGGAGACGCUCUUUCUGGUAUGCUGCUUAAAGUGGUGACCAAGCCUAUCCGAUGCACUUUAUACCUUUGUUUAAAAAUGUGUUUCACCCACAGUCUACAGCCCGUCCUCAUUACUGGGGCUGCAGAUGAAUCGAUGAAACGGGAGAUUUCACAGAAAAAUGAGCAGGAACCAGCAAUCAACGAUUCUCAGCUUGAUUGGCCUAAAGUUGGGAAUUCAACAAUCAGAUUUUUUUUUUUUUCUUGUGUGAAAGCUCCAUAUCUGAGCGACGCGAGGAUGUCCUAACUACAACUUUUUUUGAUAGGGAGACUGUUGAUACUUAAUGAAAACUCAAAGUUAGCUACUUUUCAGUAUCAAAAAAAAAAUGCAGAGGGCCGUUUAGAAGGAAAUCACAUUUGCCACAGCAUGUCUGCAGUUCCCUUCAAUUGUGAGAGCAAGACUUUGAGCAGAUAACAGGAAGGAUAUGGACAAUCCAAUGUUUCAUCUUAAGGUAGAAAGUCUCUAUAGAGAAUACACACAGAAACCACUGCUGCCACUGUGCGAGUCGCACAAACAUUUAGUUCCAAGGUGCUAAAGAAACCCGUUUUCAAGUGGCUACUCUCUAACACAUGACCUGACAUCGUCUCUCCUCUAACAUUAAUUAUCCACUAAUUAAUGUUAAAAGAUCAAUAUCAGCAAAUAAAAACUUUGCCAAAAUUGGAAAAUGGCCACUAAAGUCUACCCAGUACAUCUCUAGUUAAUAUUAGAUCCAUAGCACCUGCUCAUCUAUCAAAUUCCUGAAGAGCAUGACACUGGACACUGAGGACAAGUAUUAGGCCUCUGACAUAACACGCUUCUCCUCCUUAUUAAUAAUCUCCUCCUAAAAUAGACGUCUAUGACGAAAGCUCUGCUAAUAAGAUGAGACAGCCGAGCUCAGAUCCGAGAGGGUACUUUGGAUUGUUCUGCCGGGACUCUCCGUACCCUCUUUCAGAUGAUCUGGGCCGUCAUAUCCCAUGUUACAUAACUAGAGAUGUGAAAGAGGAGGCUUUUCUACCCAUUUAACCCCAUCGUGCCUGAACCCUUCCCCUCUCACAGAAUCAAAGUCUGCUAAGCUGAGCGGUUAUAUUUUAUCAAUUGUUGGUCUUAAUGGUGCAUGUGGAGGAUAUUUGUUCUAAGCUUUAAAAAAAGGGGUUCGUGUUAUCAGCCUGAGGUUUAAUUAAACCUCUGCGAUUUAGCAAAAAAAGACACUUAUAACUUUCUCAACACAUGUUUUUAUAUAUAUAUAAAAUGUGUUACUGUGGAGAACAAAAUGAUUUUUACUUAUUUACUGCUGUGAACUCAACUGGCAGAUUCUGCUGAACAGCCGAUUAAAAGAUGAAUCAACCUGCUGCUUCAGUGUGUGAGAAUCUGUAAAUGUGAUCUAAGCCGUUGACACUGGUGCUGUUGUGAAUCUGAUACUCGGUGAGACGGUGUUAUUGUUGCACAAUGUUUUUGGAGAAAUACCAGUGGGGAGUUCGCACAUGACUGUGGCACAGGCAGGGGCUGGCAGAUUAAUGGAAAGCACUGCAGCCUUUGCAGCAACAAUGUUUGGCUUUGAGUAUAGAAAUUAGCGGUGCACCGAUUUAGAGGCACAGAUUUUGAUCAUUCUGGGGCUCCAGGUCAUGACUGUACAUUUGCAGUUAACAGCAGUCACCCCACUGUUGCCAAGUCUGUGACUUUCUUGCAAUACGUAGUGACAUUUCAGACAAAAAAAA